rnacentral:rRNA from 1 species
CGUACCUUUUGUAUAAUGGGUCAGCGAGUUACUUUGACGAGCAAGCCUAAGCCGUUAGGCGUAAGCGAAGCGAAAGCGAGUCUGAAUAGGGCGUUUAGUUCGUUUGAGUAGACCCGAAACCGGGUGAUCUAGCCAUGGGCAGGUUGAAGGUACGGUAACACGUACUGGAGGACCGAACCCACGCAUGUUGAAAAAUGCGGGGAUGACCUGUGGCUAGGGGUGAAAGGCCAAUCAAACCCGGAGAUAGCUGGUUCUCUGCGAAAACUAUUUAGGUAGUGCGUCGUGUAUUACCGUCGGGGGUAGAGCACUGGAUGGGCUAGGGGGGCGCGAGCCUUACCAAACCUAACCAAACUCCGAAUACCGGCGAGUACAGCACGGCAGACAGACUAUGGGUGCUAAGGUCCAUAGUCGAGAGGGAAACAGCCCAGACCUCCAGCUAAGGUCCCUAAAUUGUGGCUAAGUGGGAAAGGAUGUGGGAAGGCCAAGACAGCCAGGAGGUUGGCUUAGAAGCAGCCAUCCUUUAAAGAAAGCGUAACAGCUCACUGGUCUAGACAAGCCGGCCUGCGCCGAAGAUGUAACGGGGCUAAAGCCACAUACCGAAGCUGAGGACGUGAUUUAUCACGUGGUAGCAGAGCGUUCUGUAGGCCUGCGAAGCGUAAUCGUGAGAUUGCGUGGAGGUAUCAGAAGUGAGAAUGCUGACAUGAGUAGCGAUAAAGAGUGUGAGAAACACUCUCGCCGUAAGCCCAAGGGUUCCUGCGCAAGGCUAAUCCGCGCAGGGUGAGUCGGCCCCUAAGACGAGGGCGAAAGCCGUAGUCGAUGGGAAUCAGGUUAAUAUUCCUGAACCUGUUGGUAGUGACGGAUGACGUAAGUUGUACAUGCUUAACGGAUUGUGUGUGCAGUGAAGUUGUCCCAGGAAAUAGCUCCAACAUUAAGACCGUACCCCAAACCGACACAGGUGGGCAGGUAGAGCAUACCGAGGCGCUUGAGAGAACGAUGUUGAAGGAACUCGGCAAAUUGCCCCCGUAACUUCGGGAGAAGGGGGACCUCCAUUUAGGCAACUAGAUGGAGGUGGCACAGACCAGGGGGUGGCGACUGUUUAUUAAAAACACAGGGCUCUGCGAAGUAGAUAAUACGACGUAUAGGGUCUGACGCCUGCCCGGUGCCGGAAGGUUAAGAGGAGGUGUGAGAGCUCCGAAUUGAAGCCCCGGUAAACGGCGGCCGUAACUAUAACGGUCCUAAGGUAGCGAAAUUCCUUGUCGGGUAAGUUCCGACCUGCACGAAUGGCGUAACGACUUCCCCGCUGUCUCCAACAUCGACUCAGCGAAA